GCGACGUUCCCCUAUCACGCCGCCGCAGAUGGCCGAGGGUAUCGGGUUGCCAGCGCCGCAGGAAUUAGUCGCGGUGAAACCGCGGCGAAAAUUGGAGGCUCCUUUUCCUUCACGGGGCGCAUGACGACUCACCUCUGCCGAUGACUUGAUUGAGGUGCAACAGGAGUCGGUCCUGGGCAAUCACCACAUGCUGGACUUCGCUCAGCAGGUCGGGGUGCAGACUGGACAGGUCGAUG